UGGAGGCACUGCCUGCCCAGUGACUAAACGUUAAACGGCCGCGGUAUUCUGACCGUGCAAAGGUAGCAUAAUCAUUUGUUCUCUAAAUAAGGACUUGUAUGAAUGGCCACACGAGGGUUUUACUGUCUCUUACUUCCAAUCAGUGAAAUUGACCUCCCCGUGAAGAGGCGGGGAUAAAUCAACAAGACGAGAAGACCCUAUGGAGCUUUAACUAAGUAACUCAAGGAAAAUAAAUUCAACCACCAAGGGAUAACAACACUCCUUAUGAGUUAACAGUUUCGGUUGGGGUGACCUCGGAGAACAGAAAAUCCUCCGAGCGAUUUUAAAGACUAGACUAACAAGUCAAACCAAACCAUCGCUUAUUGAUCCAAAAACUUGAUCAACGGAACAAGUUACCCUAGGGAUAACAGCGCAAUCCUAUUCAAGAGUCCAUAUCGACAAUAGGGUUUACGACCUCGAUGUUGGAUCAGGACACCCCGAUGGUGCAACCGCUAUCAAA
rnacentral:rRNA from 1 species